rnacentral:rRNA from 1 species
GACGAACGCUGGCGGCAUGCCUAACACAUGCAAGUCGAACGAGACCUUCGGGCCUAUGGGCGCACGGCUGCGUAACGCGUGGGAACCUGCCCUUAGGUUCGGAAUAACUCCCCGAAAGGUGUCCUAAUACCGGAUAAUGUCUUCGGACCAAGGAGUUAUCGCUUUUGGAUGGGCGCGCGUUGGAUUAGCUAGUUGGUAGGGUAAAAGCAGACCAAGGCGACGAUGCAUGGCUGGUCUGAGAGGAUGAUCCGCCGCACUGGGACUGAGACACGGCCCAGACCGGUACGGGAGGGAGCAGUAGGGAAUAUUAUACGAGGAGCGAAAGUGUGGUACAGCAACGUCGCGGGAGUGAUCAAGCGCUUAGUGUUGUACAGCUCUUUUACACGGGAUGUUAAUGACGGUACCGGGAGAAUAAGCACCGGCUAACUCCGUG